rnacentral:rRNA from 1 species
GACGGAGGAUGCAAGCGUUAUCCGGAAUGAUUGGGCGUAAAGCGUCCGCAGGUGGCAGUUCAAGUCUGCUGUCAAAGACCGGGGCUUAACUUCGGAAAGGCAGUGGAAACUGAACAGCUAGAGUAUGGUAGGGGCAGAGGGAAUUCCUGGUGUAGCGGUGAAAUGCGCAGAUAUCAGGAAGAACACCAAUGGCGAAAGCAGCUCUCUGGGACGGUACUGACGCUGAGACGCGAAAGCGUGGGGAGCGAACAGG